GAUGAAGAACGUAGCGAAAUGCGAUAAGUAAUGUGAAUUGCAGAAUUCAGUGAAUCAUCGAAUCUUUGAACGCAUCUUGCGCUCCUUGGUAUUCUGAGGAGCAUGCCUGUUUGAGUGUCAUUAAAUUCUCAACUACACUGACUUUGAAUUGGUGUGGCUUGGAUUUGGGUGGGAAAAUUGUUGUGGGCUUUUUGUAUAGUCUGCUCCCCUGAAAUUGAUUAGCGGUACCUUUGUGGAACUGUCUACAGGUGUGAUAAUUAUCUACAUCCUAGACAUCUGCUGGAAUGCUGCUUUCUAAACCUUACUUGUAUUGACAAUCUUGACCCCAAAUCAGGUAGGACUACCCGCUGAACUUAAGCAUAUCAAUAAGCGGAGGA
rnacentral:misc_RNA from 1 species